CAUCUGUAAUACUCUAAAAGCACCUGCUUCUGUCCAUUAACAAUAACCAUAAGUUUCUGAAGAUAAAUUCCACCUUGCCAGUGUAGCUACAGCUACAGCAAACUGCAGAAUUACUCCAAAGUCCAGUUAUCAGCAGAGGAAGAUUUGCCUUCUGAGUGUGCAUGUAUAAAGUCCUCCUAGGUCCCAGCUAAUCCCCUGAGCAAACAGCAAUGGGGAAGCUGCCAGAGCAAUACCAGGGCUCAUUCAACGUGAGCUACUGAAGCAGUAUUUUGAAGAAUCCCAGCACUAUAUGCUUGCCUAUUGAAAAUAUUUUGCUUGGUAUA